GUGUGCUCGCGCCUCUCGCCCGGCCUCUAAGAGUCGUUGGGGCCAGACGCUGCUUCCUUGCCUCCCGCGGAGGCCGCCGCCGCCGCCGCCGCCGCUGCCGCCGCCGCCGCUGCCGCCGCCCGGGCGGCACUGACGCCGGAGUCAUGCAGGAUGAGGUCGGGGGAUUCGGAACGGGGCGUCUCCAGGUUGCUGGCGUCCGUGUCACUGUCGCUGCCCUUUUUGCCCCCGCCGCCCCCGUUGUGCGUCUUAAUGUGUUUGCUCAGGUGGUCGCUGCGCAUGAAGCGCUUGUUGCACACCGGACAGGCGAAGCGCUUCUCGCCCGUGUGAGUCCGCAGAUGCCGCUGCAGCUCGUCCGAGCGCGUGAAGCGCUUGCCGCAGAAGAGCCAGUUGCACACGAAGGGCCGCUCGCCCGUGUGCCAGCGCAGGUGCGCCUUCAGGUGCGACGUCUUCCCGUACACCUUGCCGCAGCCCGGAAUGUGGCAGCUGUGCAGGCCCUUGCGCCGCAGGCUCGCCCCGGCCGGGCCCAGCCGCUCCGCCUCCUGGCAGUUGGGGCAGUCGCAGGUGGCGCGGCCCGAGUAGCGGCGGGCAGAGCGUGCCGAGCUCCCCCCGGCGGCGGCAGCCGCGGCGCCCGAUAUCAUGGCGCUGGCGGCGGCGGCUGCCACGGCGGCGCUGGAGUCCGAAUAGGAGGGCAACACCGGCUUGAAGCCGUCCUGGGCCAGCAGGUGCUGGCUGGUGGAGAGCAGGUGGGAGGCGGCGGCGGCGGAGGAGCCGAGGCCCGUGGAGCUGAAGGCGGAGUGCGUGAGCGAGCUGAAGUCGGGGUUGUAGGUGCCCAGCUGCGAGUGCAGCGAGGCCUGGGGGGCGCCCGAGUGCAGCGAGCUCUGGAGCCCCCCAGCGGGGUUCUGCACUUCCAGCCACGAGCCCGGGCUGCUGUGCACGUCCCACCACGACGACGCCGCGCCGUUGGUCACCUCGCCGGCCGCCAGCGUCGAAUGGAAGCCCGACUUGUACCAGGACUCGUACGGGUGCGCCAUGCCCACGCGCGGGUACAGCCCGUCGGCUGCCGUCGUGUGCACCUUGGAAAUGAAGGCCGACUGGCCACCCGCCUCCUGCGGGGACACCCCGGCCGCUGCCGCCGCGGCAGCCGCCGAGUUGGAGAAGAGGCCGCCGUAGUCGCUGCUGAAGGCGGACGACGUGGGCGACGUGGAGGCCAGGCAGAAGGCGCUGUUGGCGGCGCCCGAGCCGCCCGCCAGGCCGCCCGAGCCACGGCCCCCGGUGGCCACCGCGAAGCCCGAGAGGCUGGAGCCGAGGUUGCAGCUGGACGAGGAGCGCUUCCAGGGGUGAAAGCCGCCUUUGGCGAAGGCGCUCGACUCUGGCAGCGUCGUCAGCGGGCUCGUGUUGCCGAUCUUGUUGCAGGUCGCCGCCAGCAUGGCCAACGGGGUCGUUCCGAAGCGCGGCUCUUCCUAGAGUGGGUGGGAUGGGGGAGGGAGCAAGAAGGAGGAGGGCAAGAGGAAGUGGGGGAAGAAACAAAGUGCACCCGUGAGCAGCCUCGUCCCCUGCGGCUGCUCCCGGGGGGUCCUGGCUCCCCGCCUCGCGCCUCCUCCCCACGCGCCCGCGGAGGAGUCGCCGCACCGGGCGCGGAGCAGGGGCGAUCACCCGGGCGAAGGUCCAGGCGCCGGAAAGUUGCACUUCGCUGAGGCUAUAAAUCAAAGAUGCCUCCGUGUUCCCCGCUGCAACCCUGCCUACAACCGGACUUGGGUUGUCGCCGUAAACCGGCUCAUCUCCCAGAAGACCCCAAGUCGCCCUUCGGGGUGAAGCGCGAAGGUAAACACAGAGACCAGAGACAACAAACACCGGGUGAGGGCGGAGGCGGCCGAAACAGCUGCCAGGGACGGGCGAAACUUGCAGCUCUCCCAGGGUGGCUACGACUUGACUUUUCUUUUUUAAUAGAAAACGUUUGGUUUUAAAGUUUACAUACACACAAAAACAGCGAUUAUGAAAACAAUAAUCCGAGGAUAAGCGGCCAGAGACAGAUUUCAAAGUCAUGGGCGAAUUGGGGAGCCGCGGAAAUGUAAAUGUUUAUUAGCGUGACUAGAUGGACUGCAAAACGAUUAAGACUGUUUUCUGGAAACACCAUUGUCGCAUAAUUGCAACAAAAUCCCCAAAGCAAUGCGGGGGAUGGGGUAUAAAUCACGAGGGGAAGAAAAGAAACCUCUAGCUUUUUUUUGAAACCAAAUGAAAAAGGACUUGAUUAAGAAGGCCUUUUCUUGCAAAGGCAUCUUUCUGGGUUCCAAAAACUUGGGGAAAAAUCAGUCCCAGAAAUGUGGAAAGUGCUAAUAGAAGCUGAAGCUGCAGUCUAGCAGCAACAGUUUCUCCGGAGCCGCAGACCCCAGAAGCCAUAACGAAAAAUUACUCCGGUUAAAACAAGCAAAUGCGUUGCCGCGCUUGCGACUUACCCCGAGUAUAGACGUGGCCAUAGCAGGUCUCUGGCUGCGCAGCGAGGCUGGGAGCGGGGCUGAGCCUGGCGGCUGCUCGGAAAAACUGCUUGGGUCCCGCGCGGCUCCCGCGUCCCCGCGCUCGUGCCGAGCGGACUCCAGGCUCCCGCCGGCUAAACUCAGCCUAAGUGCGAGGAGCACCCGCUUUGAAGUGCCGCUGGCUGCGCCUCUCGCCCAAUGAGGGCGCAGGCAGAGCAGACCGGAGCUGCCCCGCAGCCAAUCAGACGCUCCGAGGGGCCCGAGCCCGGGCUCCCGGCGCGUGCCAGUCAAGUCAGCUAGCUAGGGCCGCGGGGGUGGGGGGGAGUAGUGGGGGAUACUUGCGGGGGGGGGGCGAGGGCGGGCUGGGGACUGAAGAAAUUACAGUGCAAUUAAAAAUUUACACUCACGCACCAAGCCAGGUUUAAGUACCAAUGAAACCGAGCCACAAGCACCCCCCCACACACAAACCACCCCGAGAUGUUGCAAGUUAGGGCUGACAGUCCUACUCGACUCCCCACUUGUAGGAAAGGAGGCAGGAGGGGAGGAGACACCCAGACACAGCCCGCACCAGCAGGGCCCAAGUGGAGACGGAAAUGUGAGCCCUCACUUUGUGUGUCCAGGCUUUUGCCUACAGAACACAACUUCAGCUUGUAUCUAU
rnacentral:lncRNA from 1 species